GGCUGUCGUCAGCUCGUGCUGUGAAGUGUUGGUUAAGUCCCGCAACGAGCGCAACCCCUGCCAUCUGUUGCCAGCAAGUGAAGUUGGGACUCAGGUGGAACUGCCGGUGACAAACCGGAGGAAGGUGGGGACGACGUCAAGUCAUCAUGGCCCUUACGGCCUGGGCUACACACGUGCUACAAUGGUCGGUACAAAGGGUUGCCAAGCCGCGAGGUGGAGCUAAUCCCAUAAAACCGAUCGUAGUCCGGAUCGCAGUCUGCAACUCGACUGCGUGAAGUCGGAAUCGCUAGUAAUCGUGAAUCAGAAUGUCACGGUGAAUACGUUCCCGGGCCUU
rnacentral:rRNA from 1 species